GCCCGAGUGGCCGAGCGGUUCUAGGCGCUACAGUCUGGAAAACUGCUACAGUCGCAGGUUCGAAUCCUGCCUCGGGCA